ensembl:misc_RNA Metazoa_SRP Metazoan signal recognition particle RNA
GCCGGGUGCGGUGGCGCGCGCCUGUAAUCCAAGCUACCGGGAGGCUGAGGCUGGCGGAUCGUUUGAGCUCAGGAGCUCUGGGCUGCGGCGGACUACGCCGAUCGGAUGUCCGCGUUAAGUUCGGUAUCGAUAUGGUGCUCCUGGGGGAGCCCGGGGUCACCAGGUCGCCUAAGGAGGGGUGAACCGGCCCAGGUCGGAAACGGAGCAGGUCAAAGCCCCCGUGCCGCUCAGUAGUGGGAUCGCGUCCGUGAAUAGACGCUGCAGUGCAGCCUGGGUAAUACAGCGGGACUCAGUCUUU